UCGGGUGUGGUGUACGGUGCACCGCUGCCUCUCUUAGGUAAUCCCUGAGGUUUCAGCAGCAAGCCGGGGUUCGACUCCCCGCACCCGAA